rnacentral:rRNA from 1 species
GACGAACGCUGGCGGCGUGCCUAAUACAUGCAAGUAGAACGCUGAGGACUGGUGCUUGCACUGGUCUAAGGAGUUGCGAACGGGUGAGUAACGCGUAGGUAACCUACCUCAUAGCGGGGGAUAACUAUUGGAAACGAUAGCUAAUACCGCAUGACAAUAGGGUACACAUGUACCCUAUUUAAAAGGGGCAAAUGCUUCACUAUGAGAUGGACCUGCGUUGUAUUAGCUAGUUGGUAAGGUAGUGGCUUACCAGGGCGAUGAUAGGUAGCCGGCCUGAGAGGGUGGACGGCCACAAGGGGACUGAGAUACGGCCCUU